rnacentral:rRNA from 1 species
AUUGAACGCUGGCGGCAUGCUUUACACAUGCAAGUCGAACGGUAACAGGCCUUCGGGCGCUGACGAGUGGCGAACGGGUGAGUAAUGCAUCGGAACGUGCCCAGUCGUGGGGGAUAACGCAGCGAAAGCUGUGCUAAUACCGCAUACGAUCUGUGGAUGAAAGCGGGGGACCUUCGGGCCUCGCGCGAUUGGAGCGGCCGAUGUCAGAUUAGGUAGUUGGUGGGGUAAAGGCUCACCAAGCCAACGAUCUUUAGCUGGGCUGAGAGGACGACCAGCCACACUGGGACUGAGACACGGCCCAGACUCCUACGGGAGGCAGCAGUGGGGAAUUUUGGACAAGGGGCGCAAGCCUGAUCCAGCAAUGCCGCGUGCAGGAAGAAGGCCUUCGGGUUGUAAACUGCUUUUGUACGGAACGAAACGGUCCUGGUUAAUACCUGGGGCUAAUGACGGUACCGUAAGAAUAAGCACCGGCUAACUACGUGCCAGCAGCCGCAGUAAUAC